AUGAAAGAACCUUCUAGGAAAACAGUUGGAGUGACAAACACGGUGAAGGAUAAACCAUUGGUUUUCCAUAAUAAAAUUAAGUCAUCAGGAUAUACAGCAGCACCACGAAUGACCAUGUUUUCUCCAAAUACUAACCUGAAAAUAAAAGAGGCAUCAAAGUGGAAGACCAAUUGUAAAUGUAAAAAUAAAGAAUAUCCUUUGGAAAAUCAUCCUCCAAUCAAAUAUGAGAAAGAGAUAGCUGCUACUUGUAAACCAACUCCAAUUUUUUCUGUUCAAUAUUCUGGGGAUGGAGAGCUGCUGGCUUGUGGCCAGGCUGAUAAAACUGUGCUGAUAUUCAAUUCCAAUCUCACUGAAGUGCAUAAUGUUUUUUCAGGUCAUGAUGGUGCAGUUAACUCUGUUGGCUGGAGCCAUGACAGGAAGUGGUUAGUUUCUGCAUCAGAAGACAGAACUUUAAGGGUCUGGUCAGUCUACAAUAAGGAACCUGCCCUAAUUCUGGGUAAAGAGAAGUUCCAUAAGACUGUACGCUUUGCACAGUUUUAUUUUAUAGAUACAUUUAUAUUGCUGUGUUGUGGAGCUGAAUUUCAUCUGCUAAGUUUCCAUCUAGAUCCCACCAAGGAUGACCUAAAACGAUACAAACAGAGGAGUGUUUGCAAAUUGGUACAGAAAUUUCCCAUGACUUCAACAAUGGAGAUUACCAGUCUUUCAGCAGUAAAUGAGUUCUAUUCUUAUAUUGUACUUACAGCUGGCAGCAACCGAGCAGUGGAAGUUUUUGAUCUCAAUGCAGGCUGCAGCGCUGCAGUGAUACAGGAAGCUCAUGUUAGAUCAGUCCAUCAGAUCUGCCAAAAUAAGGGAUCGUCCUUCAGUGCUCAGCAACCUGAAGCUUACAACCUUUUCCUGACCACAGCUGCGGGUGAUGGCAUCAAACUGUGGGAUUUAAGAACACUGAGGUGUGAACGUCGUUUUGAGGGGCACAGUAGCCGCUGCUAUCCAUGUGGAAUUGCAGUGUCUCCCUGUGGACGCUUUAUAGCCAGUGGAUCAGAUGACAAAUAUCUCACCACAGCCACCUUGGAUGGCAAACUCCGAUUGUUUCUACCCUGAUACUUGCCAACCUGUGGAGCUUUGGCCAUGGUACUCUGAGAAUAACGACUUGCUGAGAUAAAGGAGACUGGUAACUGGCCAGAAGCAAGUGGCAUAACAUUCCCUUUUAAACUACAGUUUUCUUCUGAUUUUAUUUUCAGGAAGUUCCUCAAGCUGUUCUCAAAGUUUUUCUGUUGUACAGUCUGUUACAUUUAUUGCAAAAAUAAGGGUGAAAGACCACAAAAAGGAGGAGACUAUUCAUUCUGACUUCAUUCUAGCAAAUCACUACAGAAGUGGCUUCCAAAGUUCUUCUUGGGUUCUUUUAGGUAGGUGCAUUCUGUAGUGCUUUGCUAGACAAGGACCACUUUAGACUGGAAAUGCAAGUAAAAUAACAAAUUUCAAUUUUUAAAGCUAGAUCUGUUUGUGACAAAUUUUUAAAUUUAUCUGAAAGAAAGAAGGAUUUUAUGUCUUUCUGAAAUGCCAUGAGAGUCCUUCUGUUAUACAUUUUUGGGGUUACUGGAAUUAGCAUGGAUGUUUGAAGACAGAAUUUUACUGGUUUACUAUUUAUACUGCAUUCUGUAAAUUCCUUAGGGAAUAUGUGACAAAUGUCUUCUCUUUAAAAUAAACUAUUUCUGUCUUUGAAAUAACUGUUAAAU
rnacentral:lncRNA from 1 species